CGAAUUCGCAGGGAGAAACCAUUUUCAUCCAAAAUACAAAUUCGCUGAGAACUAGGCGCACGCAAUCCGCUCAGGAAGAUCUGCCAAGCUAGUGGACGAAGGACCAACGAAUUGGUCCUGCCCCACCGUAGAUGUAAGCAGCAAACGGCGUUCGCUUUGCUAUUAAGGCCCAGUUCUUCCGCAUGCGAAGACCUUCCUUGCUUUCUUUUGUAACUGGCCAUGGUAUUUCACUUCUUAUUUUUCUUCGGAUAAAAUAUUGGUUUGGGUUACUUCCUUGCUUUCGAUUCUACAAGUUUUGAGAAACCAAGAGUAAUGAGUGGUAGUUUGUGACGGCGUUGUAGGGAGAAGAACCUGGUACUGUUGUUUUUUUGUAAACUAGAUCAACAUGUGAGAUAUUUCAGCAUAUGUUGCAGUAUCUUUAUAUUUUUGUUUGGUCACUCUAUCUCUGAAAAUGCUGUGUUUUACAGCUGUAAAACAAUUGUGCAUUUUCCAUCAA